UACGUAGGGGGCAAGCGUUGUCCGGAUUUAUUGGGCGUAAAGGGCGCGUAGGCGGCCUGCUAAGUCGAACGUGAAAUCCCUGGGCUCAACCCAGGAACUGCGUCCGAUACUGGUUGGCUUGAAUCCGGGAGAGGGAUGUGGAAUUCCAGGUGUAGCGGUGAAAUGCGUAGAUAUCUGGAGGAACACCCGUGGCGAAGGCGGCUCUCUGGUCCGAAACUGACGCUGAGGUGCGAAAGCUAGGGUAGCAAACAGG
rnacentral:rRNA from 1 species